CACUCGCUUGUUAUGACAGUUCGAAUCGGAUUAGAUCCGUGCGGAUGGCAUCCGUCGGAUACCGUAAUAGGCAUAAAUAUUUUCAAAUAAAAAGUCCGCUG